ACUUAACUGAAAAGUGAUCGCUGUUAAAUGUAAGAGUGGGAAUAAGAGAGGGAAGAGAUGUGCAAUUCGGGACAUGCUCAAGCUGACUUACCUCAAACGGUAGAGUUAGAAACAUACCAGGGGAUUCCAAUUCAAUCCCAUCAAGGUGGCAUGUACCAAUGCCAUCUCACUAGUCCCAGUGAUCAAUUUCUGUUCACAAUUGAUCAUAAUGAUAGGACUAAGAACCAAAGGGAUCACAUAAACAAGAAUAGUGUCUGCAAAUACUAGCUGAUAGAAUCAAAAAGGGAGAGAUGAUCCAACAUGGGAAGUGAGAUACACAGCAGACCCAUAGAAUGGCAAAUGUCCUAAACAGCGCUCUGGCCUCAGAAUCAGCCCUUAAGGCAUGUGGAUCCGGCUGAAAAGCCCAUGAGAGUAUUUCAGGCAUGGAAAGCCAAGACACUCUGGAAAAAACAAACAAACAAACAAACAAACAAAA